rnacentral:tRNA from 1 species
UGGGGUAUCGCCAAGCGGUAAGGCACCGGUUUUUGAUACCGGCAUUCCCUGGUUCGAAUCCAGGUACCCCCGCCA